AAUGAACGCUGGCGGCAUGCCUAACACAUGCAAGUCGAACGAGACCUUCGGGUCUAGUGGCGCACGGGUGCGUAACGCGUGGGAAUCUGCCCUUGGGUUCGGAAUAACAGUUAGAAAUGACUGCUAAUACCGAAUGAUGUCGUAAGACCAAAGAUUCAUCGCCCAGGGAUGAGCCCGCGUAGGAUUAGCUAGUUGGUGUGGUAAAAGCGCACCAAGGCGACGAUCCUAGCUGGUCUGAGAGGAUGAUCAGCCACACUGGGACUGAGACACGGCCCAGACUCCUACGGGAGGCAGCAGUGGGGAAUUUUGGACAAUGGGCGCAAGCCUGAUCCAGCAAUGCCGCGUGAGUGAAGAAGGCC
rnacentral:rRNA from 1 species